CCUACGGGUGGCAGCAGUAGGGAAUAUUGCUCAAUGGGGGAAACCCUGAAGCAGCCACGCCGCGUGGAGGAUGAAGGUUUUCGGAUUGUAAACUCCUUUUGUUAGAGAAGAAAAUGACGGUAUCUAACGAAUAAGCACCGGCUAACUCCGGGCCAGCAGCCGCGGUAAUACGGAGGGUGCAAGCGUUACUCGGAAUCACUGGGCGUAAAGAGCGCGUAGGCGGGAUAGCAAGUCAGAUGUGAAAGCCUAUGGCUUAACCCUAGAACUGCAGUUGAAACUGUUUUUCUAGAGUGUGGGAGAGGUAGGUGGAAUUCUUGGUGUAGCGGUAAAAUGCGUAGAUAUCAAGAAGAA
rnacentral:rRNA from 1 species